GUCUCCGUCGUGGAUGCCAGUAUUAGAACUCAAUGUGGAACAGAUCAUGCCAGAAGUGGUUCACAAAGACUUUCGACUUUGGCUUACCUCUACACCUUCACCUUUCUUCCCAGUAGCAUUGUUGCAGAAUGGAUAUAAAAUGACAGUAGAGCCUCCAAGAGGUAUCAAAGCAAACUUAUUGAAGGCUUAUAUGAAUCAGGUUCCUGAUU
rnacentral:misc_RNA from 1 species